CAGAAAUAAUGCUAAUGGUACUUGUAUCUUUAUUCAGUGUCCAAUAAAGACAGGUUGUCAGGGGAGGUCGGUGUGAGAGCCCUGUGCUACAGGUCGAUGAGGAAGAGUGAGGCACCACACAGACUAAGUGUAGGCAGGAAGCUGUGUAAAGUUGUUAAUCCCCGUUCUGUGGGGUUCAGUUCAUUUAAGCAUUAGUUAAGUUCAUUCCUAAAGGCCCAUCAACUUGAAUGUUUUCCUUGUCUCCCUGCUUUAUCACUCCUAAUUUGACUAGUCAGAUAGUUAAAUCAACGUGUGUUUGGGUGAUCAGAAACAUUUGACAACAAGUUAAUACUGCAAAUAUACACAAUCUAAGUUAUUACAGUUAUCAAGCUAUCAAGCAUGGUUAAGUUGUUUUAAUAGGGAGAGAAGGAAACACUAAGCAUUCAGGAGGGUACGUAACCAUAACACUGAACUAUGUUCCUGUUCAGCUCUUCCAUGAAGAUGUUACAUUUUUAAUUUUCGUUCUUUCUUCUUAGAUUAAGCUUCUGGAUUCAUCGCCGGUGAUACUGACACAUAGCCAGUGCUCCUGUGUGGCAGGCGCUGUUAUGUGCAAUCACACAGUGGCACUGCUCUUCCAAACAGCACACUACUCACAACUCAGAGUGCCGGUUGUCCCCCCUGUGCAUACAGUAGCUGCACGGAAUCUGAACAGCAAUGGCACAAGCCACGGACAGUGGGUGUGAGGCCAGGACCCAUCAACUCCAUGAUCUUCACUAAGCCAGUACCAAAUAGGAUGGCCCAGACUGGAGUACGGAGUGGCUUCUACAGAGGCAUGGUGGGUCCGUUACCAGAUCCCUGCUUGUUCAGAAUAACGGAGGCAUAUGCAAAAUUUAAUAUUGAGGACAGGCCACUUGUGACCACAAUGAACAUGAGACCUAACAAGC
ensembl:lncRNA